GGGUCAGUAGGUUGGUCGUGCCACCGGUACGUACUGGUCUCACUGAUUCCUCCUUCCUGAAGAACCGUAAUGCCAUUAAUUUGGUGUUGCGGGGAAACAGGACUGUUACUUUGAGAAAAUUAGAGUGUUUAAAGCAAGCUAACGCUUGAAUACAUUAGCAUGGAAUAAUGAAAUAGGACGACCGAUCCUAUUUUGUUGGUUUCUAGGAUUGACGUA
rnacentral:rRNA from 1 species